CCAGCGUGCGCGUUGCGUUAGCGCGCACACCCGAGACGGAUCGUGGUGAGGAUUAAAAAGUAUACGACUCUCCUCUCUCCGCCCACCUCCUCAGGUUUUAAUAACCUCUCGUUCCACCCGAAAGGAGAAGGUCUCCGUGGGCAACGAAAGACAGCCUCCCCAAAAACCCUGCCAGUGAUCAAUGGAGACGAAAAUUCACUGACGCCGCUCAUACAAAUAAGGACAAGCAAAGGCGACCUGCCUUUCUCGCAGCUCCAUCUCUGCCCGCGAUGGGAGCCGAUAGCGGAGUGAGAAGUGUGAGCGCGUGCCCUGCGCGUGUGUGAUCGCAGCUAAACGGGGGGAGAUGGAUGACGGUAAUUUAGUGCCAGCGGGUUGGAGGCUGUGCUGCUGCUCUGGCUCUUGAACCCGGACUUAAUGCCCGCUGCUCAGCAGUAUCUCCCUUCUGUGGAGCUCCUGGCUUCAUCUGGUAUCUCUAUUCCAUCCUAUCUGGAUGGAGCAGGCCAAUUGAGACCUUCCUCAGGUGCGGAUGAAUCCGUUUCCAGUUAAUAUGGGGCACCAAGAGGAGGAGAACAACUCAAAUGGGAAUAAAGGAAAGUAGACGCCGGCACGCAGAAAGAAGUUGGUCAGGCUAAAUGGCAAAUGCCCUUCAAACAAUUUGACUGGUGGACACGGACAUGCUGGCCGUAGUUCUCUUCUCACAGAGCAUUAAGAGCUGACUCGUCUCAAUCAGACGUCCUGAGGAAUAAAUCAGGGUUUUGUAAAGGACAAAAGAGGGCUUCCCCUCUGUGAGCUGCUCUCUGCAAUCAGCUGUAAACGUGAGUCUCCUGUUUCAGGUCGGUGUGUGACACACACACACACACACACACACAUACACACAUGGGCAUGUGUUCGCAUCCACACUCACUCAUGCAUUCUUGCUGACGCCUUUCUGGACACAAAAGUGUGCAUACUUUAAGUAUACUUAAAUAAAAAAUGUUCAUGGGUACGUUUCUUAUAGAAAAUUAUGACAACAGGGAUGGUGUUCAAUUAUUGACCAAAAAAGAUGUUACAAUCCAAAUACCUUUUUUUUUUUAAAUAUGUUGAAGAAAUUUAAAAACAUUAGUAUUGUACUUAAGAUAUUUCAGUCAUUCAUUUUGUAUCAAUGCUGCCGAUAUGUUGGACAUUUAUGAAUCAUUUGAUCCUAACACGUAUCAGCAGGCUCAUUCCUGAUGCAAACAAACAUUUAACUGCAUUUGAAUGCACACAUGGGCGUAGUUUACUUGUGGGCAUUGCAGGUGUACAAAAAUUCUACUUCUGUCUCACUGGCAAAAUAGUGUGUUGCACUUUGGAAACAGUCUUCUCUGUUCUAACAAUUACAGAUUUUAUUCAAAGUGUACUCCAGGUUUUUAAAUAACCGUUUCUCUCCUCUGUAAUCUGUCUUUUUCCCUCUUUGCACUGAGAACAUCAUUAUAAUUUAUAUAAUAUCAUUCAUAACAGAUUAAACUACCCUUUGGCCAUCAAGCAUUUGGGAAAUAUGGUUUCUCUGUUAAUCCACUGCCCAGCGAAACUCUCUGAGAGAAAAUGAAUAACUCCAUCUGUAAAUUAUAAUCUCCCAAAUAAAAUGAAUGUUGAAAAUUGUACUUACUUUACUUACAAAUUAACAAAAAAAGCUUUGCUUGUCCUGUCUGAAAUAGUUAACAGGAGACACACAGAACCUCCAACUCAACUGCUGCAUUUCCACCGCUUACUGUUACACUCACAACUGGUCAUUACGGAACAUUACGUUUCAUUUAGCUGACAUUUUAAUCCAAAGUGAUUUACACAAAGUGCAUUCAACCACGAGGGCACAGACCCAGAACAACAAGAUGCAAGAAAUCCCAAUUCUUUCAAAACAGCCAAACUACAUUUGGUGCAUAUAAAUGAAUGCUACACAUAAAUCCUACACACGAAUGCUACACAUAAACACUACUUGUUAUUAUCCUGUAAGUGAUAAAGGAUUCAUACGUUUAACAUGUGUAUCUGUAAAUAAUGUCCCAAUUUAACAAUUGUAAAGUUGUAGCAGUAUAAGAUAAACUCAAAGAUGUCAUCUGCAAAGUAACUGAGUGCUUUUCCAAAAUGCACAUGGCAGAAAUGCGUGCAUGAGUGCAUGAAAGGCUCUGAACAAAUAUUCAUCCAUUUACGACAUAUGUACACUGGUAAAUAUUUGCAAACAAGCAAGAGCCCACCCCCUCGCCCCCCCUACAGUAGGUAAAUCCUAAGCUAAAGCUACAGAUUCUGCAAAUCUCUUCCGGCAACUACACUAAGCAACCAGUUGACCUUCUCACCCUCAAAAUUUGGCAAUGAAACACCAUAAUAUAUAAAUACUGUUGGAAGGACUAUCAACAUUAGUAAAUGGUCCUCCAAGCGUCCAUGCUUAGAACACAUGUUUGUGCCAACAUCCUGGUGUUAAGGAUUGGGAGACCCUACACACAGUAUACUAUUGAUUUUCUGUACACUAAGACCCCCCCCCCAUGGACUGUGUGUGUGUACGUGAAUACACAUACAGGCCGACCCGGUACAUAAGAACACAUGCUCCAUAUUCACUCCUUCUCAGAACCACUGUAUAUACCCUAAUAUUCCACAUCAGAGCCCAUGGAGACUGGGAGGGAGGUUUUUUUUAAUUAUUAUUCAGGGACACAGCCGGUACUUUUUCAGUAAAAUGUAAUGUUACGCUGCCUUUUCACACUGUGGGAUUCAGUAGUUUCCCACUCACUGGUAAUAAAGUCUUAUGAAGUCGUUUAUAUUUAGACUCUUUUUCAUUACUGCUCCCACAGAGUCAGGAGGUGCAGUUUUGUCAGUACCACAGAUGGAUUAUUGAUUGAGCAUCUACAGUAUUUGACGUGAUCGUCAUUUCUUGUUGGAAAGUCAUUGACACGACUAGAAAGAAUCACAAAAUGGUCACAAAGUGAAAUAAAAUGUCCGUAACAGACAAUCACUCCAAAUCAGACUUAAAUGUGAUGAGAAGAGCAUAAAUGACAACAAUCCUAUUUAUUUCUGUUUCAGUCUCUCUGCCUGGCUUUCAUGCAGGAGGGAUAGGGGGUCUUUUGUAUCGUAAUUGGCCUGUUAAAAGUUUUUGUAUUUUGUUUUAGAAUUUUAAAAAAUGUAAUGAAUUUAUUGAACUGAAUAACAAGUGCAACUCAUAAUAAUUAACAGUUUACAAAGACCUAUUACCUAUUGACUGUAAAUGUAUGUCAAUCUGAUUAUACUCAUUUUAAUAAUAUUCCCCUUUUUUAAACUGUGUCUUACUUACUUACUUUUUAUUUGUAUUUUAUCUAAAUGUUUCACCUGUUUUUUGCCUUUGAUUCCUUAUUGUUGUGAAUGUUAAACCAGUAACAUGUGCUUUCCAAUGCUGUGAAGUUCAUCUGUAGAUCUGGAUGUGUUUCCCCAGCCUCUUCAAUACAGCCUCUAGUGGCCACUAGAUGAACUGCUUCUUUGGACACCCUGCUUAUGCUUCAGCUUGCCCCGAGAAUUCCAAGUUUGCGGUCAUCAUCCAAACGCCUCUGUGGCAAAGGACGUAUUUGAAUUCCGGCCUUGAUCUCUAUCUCUCUCUCUCUCUCUUUGUUUUCCCACCUCAACCUCCUUGGUUCACCUCCACACUCUCUCUUUCUUCUUUUUUCCCCUAAAAAAAAACACUGACGUCAGCGAGUGCAUCCACUCCACAAACAUCACAACACAAACAGCACUGUGGGCAGAGCCAUAGGGCCACUGAGAGGAGGCACAGCAGCAGCAGCAGCAGCAACAGCGCUCUCACUUGUCAGUUUACAUAACACUGAUUAUAACCCUGAGAUUUAUCCAACCAACGAGCAACAGUUUACUUUGGCCUGGGCAUUAAAAUCUCAGCGGCCAUCUGUUCCACCGCUUAGUUGCUUUCCUUCAAAUAGUUUUUUUUCCGCCCACUGAUUCUAGUGUCGCUCAGAUAUCACACAGCAGUAAUGUGGGAUUACUUUCUGUCUUCUAUUUCUUCUCCACUAAAUUACUGUGCUGUACUAAUACAAUUGUGGAUCAUUGAUGGUCAUCCGAUGGAAGUACAUGAUUAGCAAGGUCAGAAUGAAGUUUGUAUUGUAAACGUAGCUACACAUUUCAGUUAAAUACAUAUAGCAAACACUUUUUCUACCUCACUCUUAAACCAUACAUGGUUAUAUAUGUAUUGUUGUUGUACUGUGAUUGAGAGAUUGAAGCCUCCACAAUGUAUAUCUUAUAAUAUCAUAAUUCUACCUUUUUUUGAUAUGUUACUUAUACUUCUGCUUGUAUCUAAUGGUUGUUUGAUCUUGUGAAAGAGAUAUUUUUCAUGCAUCCUUCUUCUCUUCAUUUAUGUCUACAUUUAGCAUACUUUCAUAACGCUUUUUCUUUCAUCCCUAUUUAAAACAGUAGUAAGCACAGAUGUUUCUUUUAAGUCAUGCUUUUUCCUUAAAUAACUCGCAGAUCUUGACAAUUUGUAUUUAAUUUACAUUUUUAUGUCUCCAUAACAUAAGUGGUGUUUAGAAAAUCAUCUGUUUCAACCGUCACAGCAGGAUUUGCGCUGAUGCUGCAGCCGGGUUGCAAUUUUAUGGGACAAUUAAUAUGUGAUAAUUUCAGUGGUCAUUAGGGCCAUUAGGAGAAACAGGAUGUUAUAGUUGAAGAGCUCUCCCCUGCGGUGGACCUCGCUUCUGUAGUGUCCUUCCCUUCGGCCGAUAUUUCCUCAGAGUGCGGUUUACACGUUCACAUUAAUGCAUCGUAAACUGUUAUUCCUCUCCAGAUGUGAUGGAGAAAUUGGAUUGUAGCACCGUGAAUGUAGCUAUGGCGAUUGCACGGAAUGACAGUUCCUCUCAAACAUCCCACUCAUCCAAAAAUAAAGACAUAGAGAGAAAGCUAUACAGGGACAAAGAGCGAGAGAGAGAGAUGUUCUCUGAUUGUUAGCACAAGGUAAUGAAACACUGAAAAGGUGACAUUAUCAACAUGUGGGCUGAGAGAUUCAGACUGUUACUGCCUCUAUUUCUGGAAGUGUAGGAGUAUUUGUGUAUGCAUGUCUGUGUGUGUGUGUGUGUGUGUGUGUGUGUGAGCCGGUGUGAUUAAGAGAGAAACGGAUGGUGUCAGAGUGUGCAUGCAUGUGUCUGUCUCUCUGUAUGUGUGUCUGUGUGCGCGUGUGCAAGUGUGAAAGAAAGAAAGUGACAUAAUAAAAAAUGGAAAUAUAGGGAGGGAUCAGAGGGAAAAUAAAAAUAUUUUUCACACAUCACCUACCUCAUUAGAGCUUAGCAUUCAGUCACUGCGCAAAACUGUGAAUUUGUGUGGAGGUGCUAAUCGCACAUAAGAAGUUGCUCUUAAAUUUCCACCACGCAGACAAGACUGAGGUCAUUUCUUUCUGACUUGCGUUGUUGUGAUUAAUACCUGGAGGGGUGUUCUUGGACUAUAACAUUGUGCCAAAUGGUAGAAUUUGGUAGAACAAUAGCCUGCACUGCCCACUGCUAUAUGUGAAAUGAAGAUGGCAUACACAGCAAAAAACAUUUCAAUUGUAAUUUUUUUCUUCCUACAACCUUCGUCCUUCUGAAGAUCACUACACUUUGGAACGCUCACAUAUUUCCAACACCAGCUGACUCUUUAGAUAAGAUGUGCAGAAGGUGACGGUGCUUUUGCUCUCGUGCAUUGCAGCGUACUUUGAAGUCACCCUUGCCAUUGGGUCUCUAUGGUUUCCUUAAAAAAAAACUCCCUAUAGGGGUUAUAUCACUCUAAUGGUACAUUCAAAUAUAUUUAGCCUCCACUCUGUGUAUAACAAAAGCCAUUGUGUAUGCAAUAUAUAUAGAUAUAUAGAUUAAACUGACAAAUUCAUGGAAAAUCCUUUUUUGUUGCACUUGUGAAGUGUUGAGCGAAUCUAUUUAGCUAUAUCCCAGACAUCCUUACUUACCGAAUGUAACAGACAGAAAUGCGUGGAUCCGUCAUCCACCAUCAGCACCUCUCCAAAGUGCUCAGGGUUUGGUUUUUGGGGCUCAGUUAAGUCUGAGUUGCUCCAUUAGCAACCGGUCGCUAAUUGAAACCAUAAUCACUGAGCUGACUGGACUGGAGCCGUUUGUGAUUUGGAAAACUCUGAGAAACUGACAAAGAAUUAGAUUAAAGAAUGCAACAAACCAUUAGGAAAAUGGAUCCGGUGAAGUGAAAGUCCAAUCUCUAACAAAUCAAAUUAAAAAGCAGUAGUCUAAAUGCAACUUCUAAGAGCACGACCGGCCCUCAUCCAGAAGUCAAUAACUCACAGUUCAUCCCCUGGUUCAGGGGGGUUUCAUAAUAAAACUUCCUGUCCUUUUAGACCGAUGAGCUGCCCCGCAAUACUGUGCGAUCAAUAACCGGUCAAAGACGAGCUCUGUAAAGUAGAAUAUCCUUUAAGGUUUUGAGAUAAUAAUAAAUAACAGCCUUUGCUCCCUAAUUUGGACCUAUUAGAGAUCCAGCUCCAACUAAACUGCUGGCAUUCAUUAUCAUUAAUACAAACUGUCACCUAGAGGUAUCAACAAUACAAAACCACUUUAAAAUGGAAAUAACAAUACAAUAAAAAAGUAAUGCAACCAAUAGACAGAAAGUAGUGCACAAUGGAGCUCUAGCUUUGGGCUUGGUGAUAUCAUCCAUUCUUCGCUGUUCACAUCCAAGGUCAAAGGCUUAAUGAAGAUUGAUGUGUGUGUGAUAUGAACUUGAAUUGACAGCACUGUGUGGCUGUGUGUUUGAAUGAAGCAGCCCAGGGGAGUUUGUGUGCCACAAAGACAAUAUAUCAGAGUAGAAUAAAGUCUGAUAAGAUGUCACGUAUAUAGUUACAUAUAUACAGGCUGUGUGUUUAAGCCUAUAUUAGCUCGUCCCAGUUGCUUUUUUUUAACUACCAACAAGCGUCCGUUCAGUCUCUAUUGCCAGACGACCAUGAUUGAUGACAAGCGAUAGAAACCAUCGGUGAAGGGAGAGAUGACCACUUCAGCUCAAGAAUUA
ensembl:lncRNA